ACGCUAGCUACAGGCUUAACACAUGCAAGUUGAGGGGAAACGGCAUUGAGUGCUUGCACUCUUUGGACGUCGACCGGCGCACGGGUGAGUAACGCGUAUCCAACCUUCCCAUUACUGUGGGAUAACCUGCCGAAAGGCAGACUAAUACCGCAUAGUCUUCGAUGACGGCAUCAGAUUUGAAGUAAAGAUUUAUCGGUAAUGGAUGGGGAUGCGUCUGAUUAGCUUGUUGGCGGGGUAACGGCCCACCAAGGCAACGAUCAGUAGGGGUUCUGAGAGGAAGGUCCCCCACAUUGGAACUGAGACACGGUCCAAACUCCUACGGGAGGCAGCAGUGAGGAAUAUUGGUCAAUGGACGGAAGUCUGAACCAGCCAAGUAGCGUGCAGGAUGACGGCCCUAUGGGUUGUAAACUGCUUUUGUAUGGGGAUAAAGUUAGGGACGUGUCCCUAUUUGCAGGUACCAUACGAAUAAGGACCGGCUAAUUCCGUGCCAGCAGCCGCGGUAAUACGGAAGGUCCAGGCGUUAUCCGGAUUUAUUGGGUUUAAAGGGAGCGUAGGCUGGAGAUUAAGUGUGUUGUGAAAUGUAGACGCUCAACGUCUGAAUUGCAGCGCAUACUGGUUUCCUUGAGUACGCACAACGUUGGCGGAAUUCGUCGUGUAGCGGUGAAAUGCUUAGAUAUGACGAAGAACUCCGAUUGCGAAGGCAGCUGACGGGAGCGCAACUGACGCUUAAGCUCGAAGGUGCGGGUAUCAAACAGGAUUAGAUACCCUGGUAGUCCGCACAGUAAACGAUGGAUGCCCGCUGUUGGUACCUGGUAUCAGCGGCUAAGCGAAAGCAUUAAGCAUCCCACCUGGGGAGUACGCCGGCAACGGUGAAACUCAAAGGAAUUGACGGGGGCCCGCACAAGCGGAGGAACAUGUG
rnacentral:rRNA from 1 species